UAAAGUUUUGCUGUUUUAUCAUCAAAACCGUUUUUAUUAUAUUUAAUGUUUUGUGUAUUUAAUAUUGAUUGUUUCCUAUUCUUUUGUACGGAUUGGUCAUUAAAUCAAUAUAUAUUUAUGAUUACUUCGUUACCAGCAGAAUAUAGACAACUAAAUAGUGCAAAGAUGAAGUUGUUCUCUUGUCUUGUUAAUAUUGAAGCAUCUGGAGGUGAAGUCCUUUGUUAUUAUUAAGUGCAAAGCUGUAGCAGUACUUGGAGGAAAGAAAGGCUAUUUUUCAAGAGGAAACAGAAGCAGUGUGUUGCUGUUACUAAAGGAAAGAUACGAUAGAUUGAUGAACAGUGAGAAAGAAAGUCAGUAGUCUCUACUGAAGCAACCAAUGUCUGCAGUUUUAAUGUUUUUCAUGGACUUAAUUUUUCAUCUUCAACUAGCAACAUUAUGAAGUUAAUUCUGGACCAAUGAACAAGAGCAACUGAAAAUAUAUUUGGACCACAUUGAAUCAACAGACAACCUGUAAUGUUGUGAUCAGGCGAUGGCACUACAUUUAUUUCAACUUUAUAAAACAAGUCUACAGGAUUGGCUAAAUUACGAAAUAUUUGCCGCGCAGCAUAGCAGAAACCUAAUGUAGUGCUUCUGCUCAGCAUUUCAUACGUCAUCAGAGCUUCAUGCAGCAGCUUUCGCAAAUCUGUGCACACUGUUCGUUACCAAGCCACCAUGCCAGCCAUGAUCGCGUAAUUACAGGAAGUUUUGUUGGUAUAUUUUACGAUGAUAUUCAAUUUACCGAAUUAAUUUUCCAUGAACAUCAUAAAAACUCGAGGUACCAUGAGUUACUGAGCAUUCGUCAGAUCAAUCCUUUUUCACUCUAGCAUAUAGCAGUACCUGAAGGAUGCCUAUAGGUGCCUUUUUUCGUUUGGAAACAAAUGCAGUGUGUUCCUGUUGCUAAAGGAAGGAUGUGCCACAAAAAAUUGAUUGGCUAUAAAUAUGGGUGGAUGAAUGCUCAUUUUGAUGCUACUGAAAAAACAGAUUGUCUGCUAGUGUUCUUUUCAUCUUGGAGGAAUUUAAGUUAAUUAAGAUUGCCGAACAAAUGAGAUGGAGUUACAAUUAAUUAAUUAGUGCUACUGAAAGCACCAGUGCUUUUGAUGUCUUCACAUAAUGCAGUUAAUUUUGGGCCUGUGAGAGAGAAGCAACUGGAAAUUGGAAACCAUUGAAACAACAGAUUUGUCUGCCGUGGUAGCCCUCGUGGAUUUGGUUGCAGUUGAUUAAGAUUGCCCAACAAACGAGAGAAUUACAAUUCAGUUUGGUCCCACUGAAACAACUAAUGUCUACUGGGGUGUGGUCUUUCAUGGACUAUAUUCUUGAUUUGCUGAUUUUGUCUUCGCCUUGCAACAUUUUUCAACUGACUAGUGAGAACAACUGGAGAUUUAUUGGAGUUCCACUAAAACAACAAAUUUUCUGCUAUGAUAUUCCUUCUGGAUUUGGUUUGCUUUUCACACAUGCAAACUUUGGAAUGUUA
rnacentral:lncRNA from 1 species